rnacentral:rRNA from 1 species
CCUACGGGUGACAGCAGUGAGGAAUAUUGGUCAAUGGGCGAGAGCCUGAACCAGCCAAGUCGCGUGCAGGAUGAAGGAUCUAUGGUUUGUAAACUUCUUUUAUAUGAGAAUAAAGUGAGAAACGUGUUCCUUUUUGUAUGUACCAUAUGAAUAAGCAUCGGCUAACUCCGUGCCAGCAGCCGCGGUAAUACGGAGGAUGCGAGCGUUAUCCGGAUUUAUUGGGUUUAAAGGGUGCGUAGGCGGUUAAUUAAGUCAGAGGUGAAAGUUUGUGGCUCAACCAUAGAAUUGCCGUUGAAACUGGUUGACUUGAGAAUAUUUGAGGUAGGCGGAAUGCGUGGUGUAGCGGUGAAAUGCAUAGAGAUCACGCAGAACUCCGAUUGCGAAGGCAGCUUACUAAACUAUAACUGACACUGAGGCACGAAAGCGUGGGGAGCAAACAGGAUUAGAUACCCGUGUAGUC